GACGUGGUGGCUAAUGGUUAGCGUGUUGGACUCCAGAUCGAGCGGUCUGGGUUCAAGCCCUGGCGGGGUCA